AACGAACGCUGGCGGCAGGCUUAACACAUGCAAGUCGAACGCAUCCUUCGGGGUGAGUGGCAGACGGGUGAGUAACGCGUGGGAACGUGCCCUUCAGUUCGGGAUAACCCAGGGAAACUUGGGCUAAUACCGGAUACGUGCGAGAGCAGAAAGAUUUAUCGCUGAAGGAUCGGCCCGCGUCUGAUUAGCUAGUUGGUGGGGUAAUGGCCCACAAGGCGACGAUCAGUAGCUGGUCUGAGAGGAUGAUCAGCCACAUUGGGACUGAGACACGGCCCAAACUCCUACGGGAGGCAGCAGUGGGGAAUAUUGCACAAUGGGCGCAAGCCUGAUGCAGCAACGCCGCGUGAGGGAUGAAGGCCUUCGGGUUGUAAACCUCUUUUAGCAGGGAAGAAGCGAAAGUGACGGUACCUGCAGAAGAAGCCCCGGCUAACUUCGUGCCAGCAGCCGCGGUAA
rnacentral:rRNA from 1 species